rnacentral:rRNA from 1 species
GAUGAACGCUGGCGGUGUGCCUAACACAUGCAAGUCGAGCGACCAGACGGUGAGAUUGUUCCUCUAACGUUGGCGGGGGACGGGUGAGUAACGCGUAGAUCGCCUUCCUCUUUUUCGGGGGUGAUUACGGGAAAACGGUUCUACUACCGGAUAAUAUAUUCAACCGCAUGGUGCAAUAGUGCUACCCGCUUUUGCUGUCAGAUUUAGACGGUUUCGGGCCGCAUUAGCUAGUUGGUAAGGUAACGGCUUACCAAGGCAACGAUGCGUAGCCGACCUGAGAGGGUGAUCAGCCACACUGGAACUGAGACACGGUCCAGACUCCUACGGGAGGCAGCAGUGGGGAAUCUUCCACAAUGGGCGAAAGCUUGACGCAGCAACGCCGCGUGGGUGAAGAAGGUCUUCGGAUCGUAAAACUCUUUUAUUGGGGAAGAACAGAAGCAGAAGAAACUAUGCACGUCCUGACGGUACCUAAAGAGAAAGCAACGGCUAACUACGUG